GGCCGGUUAGCUCAGUCGGUUACAGCAUGGUGCUACUAAUAACACCAAGGUUGCAGGUUCGAUCCCCGCAUGGGCCA